rnacentral:rRNA from 1 species
CCUACGGGGUGCAGCAGUGAGGAAUAUUGGUCAAUGGCCGGAAGGCUGAACCAGCCAAGCCGCGUGAAGGACGAAGGUGCCAAGCAUUGUAAACUUCUUUUGUCAAGGGACAAAAUCAGGCUCGAGAGCCUGACCGAGGGUACUUGAAGAAAAAGCAUCGGCUAACUCCGUGCCAGCAGCGGCGGUACUACGGAGGAUGCGAGCGUUAUCCGGAUUUGUUGGGUUAAAAGGGUGGGUCGGCGGAAUGUUAAGUUAGUGGUAAAAGCCCGGGGCUAAACCCCGGCGAGCCGUUGAAACUGGCUGUCUUGAGAUGUCGAGAGGUAUGCGGAAUGCGCAGUGUAGCGGUGAAAUGCGUAGAUAUUGCGCAGAACUCCGAUUGCGAAGGCAGCAUACCGGCGGCGAUCUGACGCUGAGGCACGAAAGCGUGGGUAUCGAACAGGAUUAGAUACCCCUGUAGUC